rnacentral:rRNA from 1 species
CGCGUAGGUGGUAGUGCAAGUCUGGGGUGGAAUCCCAGGGCUUAACCCUGGAACUGCCUUGGAAACUGUAUUACUUGAGUCAGUGAGGGGAGGGUAGAAUUCCUGGUGUAGCGGUGAAAUGCGUAGAUAUCAGGAGGAAGGCCUGUGGCGAAGGCGGCCCUCUAGCGCUGAACUGACACUGAGGCGCGAAAGCGUGGGGAGCAAACAGGAUUAGAUACCCUGGUAGUCCACGCCCUAAACGGUGGGUACUAGGUGUAGGGCUCGUAAGGGUUCUGUGCCGAAGCGAAAGCAUUAAGUACCCCGCCUGGGGAGUACGGCCGCAAGGUUGAA